rnacentral:rRNA from 1 species
GUAAGGAAUAUUGGUCAAUGGGGGCAACCCUGAACCAGCCAUGCCGCGUGCAGGAAGACGGCCCUACGGGUUGUAAACUGCUUUUAUACGGGAAUAAAUCUCGCUACGUGUAGUGAGUUGAAUGUACUGUAAGAAUAAGGAUCGGCUAACUCCGUGCCAGCAGCCGCGGUAAUACGGAGGAUCCAAGCGUUAUCCGGAUUUAUUGGGUUUAAAGGGUGCGUAGGCGGCCUAUUAAGUCAGGGGUGAAAGACGGUGGCUCAACCAUCGCAGUGCCCUUGAUACUGAUGGGCUUGAUUACACUUGAGGUAGGCGGAAUGUGACAAGUAGCGGUGAAAUGCAUAGAUAUGUCACAGAACACCAAUUGCGAAGGCAGCUUACUAAGGUGUCAAUGACGCUGAGGCACGAAAGCGUGGGGAUCAAACAGGAUUAGAUACCCUGGUAGUCC